rnacentral:rRNA from 1 species
AUGAUAUGUGAAAAGCGUGUGCUAGAUGUGGCCCCUAUCCAGCGUUUUGAUCUGUCCACUCAGGUGCUUUUGUCUAGGUUGAAUCCUAUGCAAGUUUUUGGAGCAGUUGGGUUCCAGAACAAACGACUAGGUAUUCCCAAAGAGGUCAUUCCACUGGUGGCUAGCAUAAUAUCUUCAUGUCGGGACAACGAUCCAAGCAAGCAACCAUCAUUCUACCAGCUCUUGUCAUCGCUGAAGAAAUUACAGUGGUUACAUUGUUACGGAAAGCCUAUGACAAUUUGCGAGUGUUGUUUGUGCAAUAUACUGGUUUUAUGGCAGGUGCAUGUAUGA